rnacentral:lncRNA from 1 species
CCAAAGUGACCAAACCAGUUGCAAAGAUCUGAUUCAAGUAUAUUCCAACUUGAGAAAGCUAGAUUUGGAUCUUCAUAGAGCUUCUUUAAAGCUUGUAAGUGCUCAAACUAAAAACAACACCAAAUAUAUAUUAAAAUCAAUGCAAAUAAAUUCUCCAUCUUAAUUAAUGAAUACCUACCCUAUUUGAGUUACCAAGAAAAAAAUGAUUAUAAACUAAUAAUGUCCAUAAAAAGCAAAAUCAAUUAAAAAUUCUCCAAUUUCACACAAAAAAUAGUACUUGAAAUCAAAAUCAAAUAAAAAAUAAGUAAAUAAUUGAGAUCUGAAAGAGGAAGUGAAUAAGAGAUACCUUCACCUGAGGUUGGAGUGUCAGAAUCCACAUCAGAGCUAAUGGAAAUCAAACAGAGAAACAAAGAUGAAGUAAACAACUUCAUUUUCAAUUAUUUUUUAAUGUCUGGGUACUUUCUUCACAUCUAUUGUUCCUUUUUACUUCACUUCUAUCUAAUAAACAAUAGUUAUAGACUACAUGUGUACCUUAAGCCAUAUCUACAUAAAAAAAUCAAACGCAUAAUAUAAGUUAGGCAAACAAAUUGUGCAUAAAGUAAAUUUGUGGAAAAUAAAACAUACCACUUUGACAGCAUAUUGUGCUUAUGCUUCUUUUAUGUAGAGAGAGGGAGAGAGAAACGGAAUGAAAGAGAACGAAAACACAAACUGAUACAUAUAGCCAAAACGAAAAGGAAAACCACAACCGGACAAAAAUUCACGCAGAUCAACUCAAAAACCUGCACAAAACGCAUUAAGGC